UACGUAGGGUGCAAGCGUUAAUCGGAAUUACUGGGCGUAAAGCGUGCGCAGGCGGUGAUGUAAGACAGUUGUGAAAUCCCCGGGCUCAACCUGGGAACUGCAUCUGUGACUGCAUCGCUGGAGUACGGUAGAGGGGGAUGGAAUUCCGCGUGUAGCAGUGAAAUGCGUAGAUAUCAGGAGGAACACCUGCGGUGUAGACAGCUUUCUGGACCACUUCUGACGCUGAGACACGAAAGCGUGGGUAGCAAACAGG
rnacentral:rRNA from 1 species